CCCGGUGACCAUAGCGGAGGGGAAAUACCCGUUCCCAUUCCGAACACGGAAGUCAAGCCCUCUGGCGCCGAUGGUACUGCAUUGGCAACGGUGUGGGAGAGUAGGUAGUUGCCGGGA
rnacentral:rRNA from 1 species